rnacentral:rRNA from 1 species
UACAGAGGAUGCAAGCGUUAUCCGGAAUGAUUGGGCGUAAAGCGUCUGUAGGUGGCUUUUUAAGUCCGCCGUCAAAUCCCAGGGCUCAACCCUGGACAGGCGGUGGAAACUACCAAGCUGGAGUACGGUAGGGGCAGAGGGAAUUUCCGGUGGAGCGGUGAAAUGCGUAGAGAUCGGAAGGAACACCUGUGGCGAAAGCGGCUCACUGGACCAUAACUGACGCUGAGGCGCGAAAGCUAGGGGAGCAAACAGG